rnacentral:rRNA from 1 species
AUUGAACGCUAGCGGCAUGCCUAACACAUGCAAGUCGAACGAGUGGCGGACGGGUGAGUAAUAUCUGGGAAACUUCCCGAUAGAGGGGGAUAACUACUCGAAACGGUAGCUAAUACCGCAUACCAUCGGAUCUGCCCAUAUCGGAUUAGCUAGUGGGUGGGGUAAAGGCUCACCCAGGCGACGAUCCGUAGCUGGUCUGAGAGGAUGACCAGCCACACUGGAACUGAGACACGGUCCAGAAUCCUACGGGAGGCAGCAGUGGGGAAUAUUGCACAAUGGGCGCAAGCCUGAUGCAGCCAUGCCGAGUGUAUGAAGAAGGCCUUCGGGUUGUAAAGUACUUUCAGCGGGGAGGCGUUAUCCGCAGAAGAAGCACCGGCUAACUCCGUGCCAGCAGCCGCGGUAAUUC